UACGUAGGGGGCGAGCGUUGUCCGGAUUUAUUGGGCGUAAAGAGCUCGUAGGCGGCUUAGCAAGUCAGGUGUGAAAACUCCAGGCUCAACCUGGAGACGCCACUUGAGACUGCUAUGGCUAGAGUCCGGUAGGGGACCACGGAAUUCCUGGUGUAGCGGUGAAAUGCGCAGAUAUCAGGAGGAACACCAGUGGCGAAGGCGGUGGUCUGGGCCGGAACUGACGCUGAGGAGCGAAAGCGUGGGUAGCAAACAGG
rnacentral:rRNA from 2 species